UUUAGGGGAUGUCCAAGGAAGUUCAUUGUGCCUAAUCUCAUACUCAACUAGGCCACCUUCCUAACCACAUCCACUCGGUGCUAGCCUUGUUUCCCAUAGAGUAUUCAAUCACAUAUGUACUUAGAGAGGGUUCCUUUUCUAGUUCAACCAACUCAUAGUACCUCUUCCCAAGAAAGGCCCCAUCUUUAAGUCAUGGCCAAUCAAGUUUCAUAAGGAUAGCUCAUUUGACUUUCUUAGAUAAGGAUUUUCAUGCCGUUCCGGCUCCAUCCAUCUCUAAGUCUAUCAUCUCACUCAAGAAGGGAACUUCGCCCUAAGGCCCAUCCUUCAAGGUUAUACAUUUACUUAGGAAAGCUAGACUUAUGAAAGGGCACCAUUUCUUAGUUUUGCCGAUUCAAGUCUUGGCCUAGAAUUCCUCUUUUAGCAUUUAUAGAAAGGGCACCAUUUCUUAGUUCUAGCCCACUUCACACAUUCAUGCAUUCAAGACUUUAAGUAACAAGGAGGGACACUUUAGUCUACCAACCAAGUCACAACAUUUUCAUUUAAGGAUACUUCAUAAUCCAACAUCAUUUCAUAUAUACAUCAUGAGAAAUCAUACUUUAACUCACAAUGCUAUCCACUUUACAUAGGAUCAUCACAAG
rnacentral:lncRNA from 1 species